AUAUAUUUUCGGAAAAUAUUGCUUUAGUUAAAAGAAUCUUUAGACUAUUUAUCUUGAAAAAAAAAAUAUAUAUAUAUAUAUAGAAAUUGUUGGUGUCUCUCAUGUGUGUCCACGUGGAAACUCUUUCUUUACAGAGACAACACGUGUUCUCAUUUGUGCACCAACCCGGGCUUAAGUUUGUUUAAGACGAGACCUCUUCGUUUGGGCUUCGGUUUACAUUAGAAGAAAGGCCCAUGUUCUGCAAAAUGACUAACCCUAAUUCACAUGUUCAGCAGGUCGUCGCCUCCGCACUGGCUUGACGUUUCUGGUUCCUUCCGCAGAGAAACGGUUCAGCCUUUAAUCCCCUUGAUUGGUAUCUCCACGAUGUGUUUUCAAUGCGAUCCUUGCGUCUCAGAGGCGGUGGGAUUUUUACGUAUAAAUAGAUUUUUGUCAUGUCUACUCCGAGAGUUUUCUUCUCAGACCUCAAGUCCGGCAAGUGCUCAUCCGCUGUUGAGGUUCGGCUUCUGCGGUUCUGGGAGGCGAAAAAUGUCAAACGCGGUGGGGAGCUGAUGUGGGUCGACAUGCUCUUAAAGAGAUAAUAUGUUAACAAUCAUAUAUGCUCGAGAAGGAUACAUGUCUUGUAAUUUAAAUGUGAUAUACUAGGAUUCAACAAUCAUAUGCUCGAGAAGGAUACAUGUCUUUGAUAGUUAUGAUUUUAUGUUUAUUUAGAGUUAUAUUUCUCCUAAUUUAUCCGAGUAACAACGGAUUUUAAAUAGGG